rnacentral:rRNA from 1 species
CCUACGGGUGGCUGCAGUGGGGAAUUUUGCGCAAUGGGCGAAAGCCUGACGCAGCAACGCCGCGUGGGUGAUGAAGGUCUUCGGAUCGUAAAACCCUGUCGUCAGGGACGAAGGUUGCAUGUCGAAUAGAUGUGCAGCUUGACGGUACCUGGAGAGGAAGCCCCGGCUAACUCUGUGCCAGCAGCCGCGGUAAUACAGAGGGGGCAAGCGUUGUUCGGAGUGAGUGUGGGGAAAGGGGGAAGUGGGGGGUGUAAUCCCCGGGCUUAACUUGGGAACUGCAUCUCAGACUGUGUCGCUAGAGUACUGGAGAGGGUGGUAGAAUUCCACGUGUAGCGGUGAAAUGCGUAGAGAUGUGGAGGAAUACCAGUGGCGAAGGCGGCCACCUGGACAGUAACUGACGCUGAGGCGCGAAAGUGUGGGGAGCAAACAGGAUUAGAUACCCUAGUAGUC